AUAAAAAGGUCCGUCGCUCUCCGCAGCACCUCCCUGGGACGCGCCGUCCAGGAGCGAUAGCAGCGCGGUGGAAGCGAUAAGUGGCAUCGCAAAUAUUCCUCUGGUUUUGUUCAGCGCCGCGUACAUCUGACUGAACCAUCCGGCAGCUGACUUCAGUGCUUUAAUUACAGAUAAUAUUGAUCCGGGAGCUAUCUCCAGGGCUGGCCGCACUCCUUGUAGCGUCCAAAGAACAGAGACCUGACUGGCCGGACACACAUCUCUGCUGCAUUUUCAUAUUCUCCAAAAGUCCCCCAUUAAAAAGCUGAGCGGGGAACAAGGGUGCCACAUACUGUAGGCAGAGACAAUCCCCAUCUGGAACCCUCUCUC